CUGUCCUAGGAGGGACAUCUAUAGGCCUGUCCUAUAGGAGGGACAACCAAGUACUGCAAGCUGGACAAUUAUGCAGUUUAAGACAAGUUGUAGAGUAAAUGUGACUAAAACUAAUGUGCAUUUUUCGUCUAAAGACUAAAUCAAAAAUAGCUGCCAAAAUGAACACUGGUCCACACCUUCCAGAACUCUGCAGCAGGCGAGUAUCCAGUUGCAGGCGGCCGGGGUCAGUCGAGGGCCGGCAGGCCGCCUUCUCACGCAAGCCAGCAGUUAUCCGUUGCGUGUGAGUCCUGAUAAACAAAGCGGUCGCUGUCUGCACACACAGAGAGAGAGAGAACGCUAUCAGCCCGUCGUCAUCUCCAGGGCCGCAAUUCGUCCUCCCAACUGAUCUCAGGGAGGGAGGGAGAGAGAAGGGCGAGGGGGAGCUUUAUCAGGAACACGCACCCCAUUAAGAGCAUCAUUUCAUUUGGCCAUCGCACUAUUUACGACUUGUUUACUUUUGCACUCCGUUGUGUCUGCCAGCGGGGCCGACGACCUGCUGCCCAUCCUGUCUUUCGUGGCUCUGCGGUGCCAGUGUCCUCAGCUGGUGUCUGAAUGCGCCGCUCUGGAGGAGUUCAUUCACGAAGGCUAUUUGAUCGGAGAGGAAGGCUACUGUCUGACCUCCCUGCAGAGUGCCUUGGCCUACAUCGAGUCGUUGUGCACCGGAGGAGCUCCUCAUCCUGCGGACAACCCCUUCUGAGACAAGGCGGCUCAUCCCGACUCCCCCUCCCCCCCGAACCCUGCAGGCUGUGCGGGCGCGCGUCACCUGACCAGAGGGCCUCCUGGUGCUGUGCUCUUCUCACACUGCGAGGCCUUUUUGGGAGCCGGGUAGCACUGCACUGUUGCACGUCGUUCCCGGGAUCCGUCCCGGGAACCUCAGCGCUCGUCUUGCUCUUCUCCCCCGACGGGAAGAAGCCACACGAGCCGACGCCCCUUAUCGCUCUUCUUUUUUCUUUCUCAGUGUUCUAACCAAUUUGAAAGCGCCUCCAGCUGUGCGUGCGUGUGUUUUAAAGCUGGUGGCAAAAAAAUCCACCGAAAUACAAAAAUCAGAAUUCCUGCACUUUGGGUGUUGACGGCUCCAAUGGAGGAUCACUUUCAGUUUGCACAGAGACGCUGGCUGCAGACGGACUCGCCUCCAGAGAGCGACUAUAAGAUGUGAGACACUGGGGGGGGUGGAGGUGGAGGGGGGUGGAGGCUCUACGCAGUGUCACCUCACUGUUUGUUGUAACAUCAUGCGUGUUAUGGAUGCGUACGGGUCCACGCUUAGCGAGGAACACGUGUGCUCUUAGUUGGGUAAGAUGGUUCACAAGCUUUGUGUCUGCUAUAAACGUCCGUUCUUUACAGACGUUUCACGUUUUGGAAGCUCUCCUGUGGAGUUGUUGUUGUUUUUUUGUUUGUUUUAAUGCUGGUGGCUGUUUACUUGAAGGAAUCUGGUGUUACAAUAUCACAUUUUUUAUCCUGUUCCCUGCAGAUCAAGUUCACUUGUGACUGAUUAUUAAUUAAUCAGUGUCCUCGAGUAGAUGAUG
ensembl:lncRNA